UUUCGGAUCGUAAAGCUCUGUUGCCAGGGAAGAACGUCUGAUAGAGUAACUGCUCUUGAAGUGACGGUACCUGAGAAGAAAGCCCCGGCUAACUACGUGCCAGCAGCCGCGGUAAUACGUAGGGGGCAAGCGUUGUCCGGAAUUAUUGGGCGUAAAGCGCGCGCAGGCGGCUCUUUAAGUCUGGUGUUUAAUCCCGAGGCUCAACUUCGGGUCGCACUGGAAACUGGGGAGCUUGAGUGCAGAAGAGGAGAGUGGAAUUCCACGUGUAGCGGUGAAAUGCGUAGAGAUGUGGAGGAACACCAGUGGCGAAGGCGACUCUCUGGGC
rnacentral:rRNA from 1 species